ensembl:lncRNA
GUGACAUAGCUUUAUUUUGAAAGGUUCGAAGUUAGGCGCGGAUAUGACGACACGUUUGGUUUCACUUUGAGACUAAAACGCGGUACUGCUAACUUCAGGUAAUGUUCGGUGCAUUCAACACGUUUUCGAACAAACUGUUUCCCGUUUCACGUACACAGAAGUUUUACUGUCUUUUUUCCAUUAAAAAAAAAUCUGCAAAGGUUUAAAAGGUGUCCCGACAGCAGGAUGGACCAGAAGGGGUGCCUGGUCGAGGUUUUGGGGGUUCCUGACCUUUUACCAGACGAUGUCACAAUUGACAAACUGCUCAUUUAUUUUCUGAGGAAAAAGAACGGAGGAGGGGAGGUUCUGAAGGUUCUGUACCCCUGUUACCAGCCCGGACAGGCUUUUGUAACGUUUGAGCAGCCGGAAGUUGCUGCUGAGGUUGUGAGGAGGAGUUCUCAUGUGUUGGAGCUGGACGAUCAACGGUAUCACCUGACGGUGAGAGCAGCUGAUCACGCUCAGGUGGAUUUCCCGGUGGAGGCCACCCUUCAGCUGAACGCUUUGCUGGACAAGAUAAAAGUGCAUGACUUCCUCAGGUCGCAGGGCUUUGUGACGAAGGAUCUGACCAGGGAUCAGGUGCAUGUCAAAGGAUCCUUUUUGAAGCUUAAAUCUGUGAAGGCCUCGUUGGAGACGCUGCUGAAAGCUCCAGCCACAGUGGGCGCGAUCCCAUCGCCUUCAACUGUCCCAAAGGUGUCCUCAGGAGACAUUUCCAGACAUCACACAGACGUAGCAGCUGCUAAACGAGGACCGUUGGAUUCAAAACACGAACGUGCGUCUCCAUCUGCACCCACCAUCUCCUCCUCUUUGCUGCGUGGCUCCUCUCUGGUGGACUCUCCUGGGACAGGAAACCAGCCUGGCUCAGUCAGGACAGGGGAAGUCUAUUUUGCUGUCGCAGAUGAUUUGUAUGACUACGCCAACUGUCUUCGGAAGAAAGACGUGGACACCAUCCUGGUCAGCCACAAUGUUAAAUUAAGAGUGAAACCUGUCGAUGACGCUUUUGUCCUCAUCAUUCUGUCGGGGAAUGGUGCAAAUGCCGGCAUGAACAAACUAAAGACGCUCCUGGCAAACCUUUUUAAAUCUCUGGUGACAAUGGAAGUCCCUCUGAAGGAUCUGACUCCUGAAGGGAUGCGUCUGGUUGCCAAAAACGUUGACAAAUCAGUGCUCAUGCGGAAGAGGAACGGCCGCCUUCACCUGAUUGGACCAUCAAGGGAAUGCUACGUCCUCAAGCAGAAGCUGCUGGGGAGGACGGCGGACCUGUCUCAACAAAGAGGGAGAAUAACCGAGAGAAAACCCACGAGGAGAAGCCUGUCGCUGCCACCGACCAGUCGCAAGACAGAUGGUGCUGGAGCUGAAGGUUACGCUCCUUCAAAGUACCAGGAUGAUGCCGGGAGGAGUCGGGGAAGAGCACUGGUACCAUGAAAGAGGUGCAAGACAAACCUGACCCCAGAACCAGACUCCAGAACCAGACCCCUAAGGAGCACUGUGUCCAGUUUUAGUGCAACAAGAAGCUUUUAAAUUUAGUCUUUUACACCACUUUGUUUUUUUAUGAAAAAACUGAUUAAACAUUUUUAUUGCUCCAACUCUUUGGUGUCUU